UGUAAUUGUAAAACGUAAUUGUUUUAUUGUAUAUCCAAAGAUAUUAUCAAAAUACUAAAAUGGUCCUACCGUGAGUGUAUCUUAAUUGAAUUAUUUGAUUAUUAUUAAGUAAGUAUUAGGCAAUGAUUGUUGCGUUUACAUACAAAAAAGUUACAAUAUAAGAAACAUUCGAUAAUUACACAAAAAUCUGAAGCCAAAUAUUGCAAUAACGAAGAUGUAGAAACGAUUCUAUUUUUCGAAACUGAGACGUACGAACGUCGAAAAAGUCAGAAACUGAACGUAGAAAAUAACAAUGCGAGUAACGAAACGAUCGACAAAUAUUAAAUACCCACAAUAAGCCUUCUGAUUGAAAUGACACCAAACACCAUAUAAUAUGGAAGAUAUUUGCCUACUCAUUUUAAUCUAAAAGAUCUCACAACAAUAUCUGUCAUGUCACAUUACUCGAUCGCGGCGGGUCAUCGAGCCUGUCGAGGCGCCAGAGGGAAUUCCUCUCCAUAGUGGGGAUGACUCCAUACAACGGAGACUCCUUUUUAUUAAAUAAUCUUUUGCGAAAA